rnacentral:rRNA from 1 species
GAGACACGGUCCAGACUCCUACGGGAGGCAGCAGUGAGGAAUUUUCCGCAAUGGGCGAAAGCCUGACGGAGCAAUACCGCGUGAGGGAAGACGGCCUAUGGGUUGUAAACCUCUUUUUUCAGGGAGGAACACAAUGACGUGUACCUGAAGAAUAAGCAUCGGCUAACUUCGUGCCAGCAGCCGCGGUAAGACGGAGGAUGCAAGCGUUAUCCGGAAUCACUGGGCGUAAAGCGUCUGUAGGUGGUUUAAUAAGUCAACUGUUAAAUCUUGAGGCUCAACUUCAAAAUCGCAGUCGAAACUAUUAGACUAGAGUAUAGUAGGGGUAAAGGGAAUUUCCAGUGGAGCGGUGAAAUGCGUAGAUAUUGGAAAGACCACCAAUGGCGAAGGCACUCUACUGGGCCAUUACUGACACUGAGAGACGAAAGCUAGGGGAGCAAA